rnacentral:rRNA from 1 species
AGUGAACGCUAGCGGUGCGCCUAACACAUGCAAGUCGAACGGCAGCACAGAGGAGCUUGCUCCUUGGGUGGCGAGUGGCGGACGGGUGAGGAAUACAUCGGAAUCUACUCUGUCGUGGGGGAUAACGUAGGGAAACUUACGCUAAUACCGCAUACGACCUACGGGUGAAAGCAGGGGAUCUUCGGACCUUGCGCGAUUGAAUGAGCCGAUGUCGGAUUAGCUAGUUGGCGGGGUAAAGGCCCACCAAGGCGACGAUCCGUAGCUGGUCUGAGAGGAUGAUCAGCCACACUGGAACUGAGACACGGUCCAGACUCCUACGGGAGGCAGCAGUGGGGAAUAUUGGACAAUGGGCGCAAGCCUGGUCCAGCCAUACCGCGUGGGUGAAGAAGGCCUUCGGGUUGUAAAGCCCUUUUGUUGGGAAUGAAAUCCAUCUGGUUAAUACCCGGGUGGGAUGACGGUACCCAAAGAAUAAGCACCGGCUAACUUCGUGCCAGCCGCCGCAGUAA